CUUUUUGCAAGCAGCUGCACUGUGAGUUCGCCUUCCAUUAGUAAAGGGACAAUGAAGGGAAGGCGAACCCCGCGUCCAAAACAUGGCCAAUGAAAGGACACUGGAAUGGAAGCCAGGAAUCCUGCUGUGGUGGAGAGGCAUAGACUCAUGAGUCCACCACAAUCGGAUACUUGCUUCUUUUUAACAGCCCUAUCAGCCGAGAGAAAUAAUGACUCCUGAAUCAUUUGACAGUAAAAAAGUUAAAAUGAUGUCUCAAUGGCGCUGCAUCAUGCCAGACGCGCGUGGAUGAUUUGAAGAUAUUAGCCUAACAAGAUGGAAGCAGGUUUAAAAUUUUACAUAAGAAGUUACCUUUUUCAGCUGGUCCUAUAGUACCCCUCCUCAGGAAUGUCUCCCCAGUGCAAGGACAAAGACUGAAGAGACUGCUAUAUUGAUGGACUCUCAAGCCAACUAUGAAGUUGAAACAAAGAAAGUGAUCACCUGAAGACACCUCCUCUGCUAAGAAACACCCCCAAAUUGUGCAGCUUCUGCCACUAGAACUCUCAGAACAAGAGACAAUCUUUUCAAGAAACAGAAAAACUCAAUAAUGACAUCUAGAUUUUCAUGAGCCAAGAACUUUCCCUUCCUCAUGUGUAUUCCUCUGUUUGUACUUAAAUUCAUGUGACAUUCAUUUUUUUCCUAGUAUGGAUAUGCUUAUUAAUGCACUUGUUUCAAAAUCCCAAAUUGCACAAAUGUGUUAAUAUUUUAAGAAACAAAAUGAAUCCUACAAGGAGAAUGAUUUUUAGCCACACAUAGGGUUGGAUCUUGAGAGUGACCUACAGAAUAAAAGUACUUUUAAAAUAAAGUAGUCAGAGGCUAUUCAAAGGGUAAAAUAAUCAUAGUACCACAUUGGUCCACUUGACACUAACCAAUCGAUCAUUUUUUUUUAAUCAAGAAAGCUAGAUUCUAUCAGAUAAAAUCACUGCUUCUAAAGAGUUUAAAUCUAGUUAGAAAAAGUUAUAGAAAUGUUUGCAAAGAUAAGUAACAGAUAGAGUCAGUAGAGGAUAAGAUCAAAAACAAAACCAAGCAAAAGAUGAGUUCAGGGGAGUUUGCCAUCAAGUUGGCAAAACUGACUUACUUAGGGAAGAAAGUUAUAAAACAGGAAAAUAUGAGAUGAACCUUGAGUGAUGUGGAAGAUUUAGAUAAAUGGAAAGGAAGGAGAAAAUGGAGUUCUUUAGGUGGUUGUAAUUGGAGGAGGAAAUGAAUACACACAUCUUGUUGACUUAAACCCAGACAUUCAGCAGCUCUCUAUACAUAUCUGGAAAAGACUGCACAGUCACCUCCUGUCUCUCACCCCAGGUAUUACUUAGAAUUAUUAUCAUAUUUCCCUUCCUUUAAAGUAAGUAAGGGUGAUUGGUGACAAUAUGGAGAACUAUGAUUUUUCCAUUAACCUAAUAAUAAUUGGUAUUUAUUGAGUUCUGUUAAGCAUUUUACAUAUUAACUCACUUAAGCCUUUCAACAGCCUUGCAAAAUAGGUAUUAUUAUCCCCAUUUUACAGGCAAGAAAACUGAGGUUUAAGUAACUUGCCGAAGUGCCAUAUACAGGGCUCACAUUCAGUAUUGCAGUUGCAAAGCUCAUGAUCUAUAGUGCCAAGUUGCAAUAUUGUAGUCAAUGUCACAAUUAUUACCCCUUUUUAUAUUCCUUGAUAUUUUUCCAUGGCAAACAAUUAGCUAUUUCAUUUAAUAAUCACCUAAAACUUUUCAGUCUUCUGAUUAAAAUUACGCUGGAGUGAUAGAAUGUAUUUUCAUGAUAGAAAUUGGGAAAAAAAAUGGGGAAUGAAGUUUAUCAGCAUUUCAGACUUGUUUUUUUUUUUUUUUUUUGCAAGACUUUGAUGAGAUUGUUCACUUUUGUCUAUGUAAAAUCCCAAAUCCUUGAGAAUAAAAAAGGGGGAGGUUUAAGUCACUUGUUGCAAUGCCCUUUUUAAUAGAGGCAAUAAAUCUAAAGGCCAUAAAUUUAGAGUGACUUACAGAAGAUCGAACUUUGGAGUGUGGCAGAGUAAGGGAUGGAAACCGGGCCCUCCAGUUCACUAUCAGUAGCUUUUGCACUGGUCUGCCCUUCCUAAAUUAAGUAUGCACUUCAAUUUGAUGAGUGGAAACAGUCUAUCUGGGCAGUAACCAGGGAGCUUUGUGCCUAGUAGAUUGCUUCUGUUCUGCACUUCUUUGGUUUCCCACCUCAAUGUAAAAAAUAGCUAGCAAUGAAGUCCAGAAGUUGUCAAUGGUUCAUCCCCAGAAGAAUGCAUAAUGUCCAAAGUUGUAUGUGUAUGAUGUCUUCAAUGGUAUUAAGUUAUUUCAAAUUCUUAGUUCACCUACAUAAAUCAUUUCUAACAAGCAUCUUCUUAACCAACUUUAUGCACAGUGUAUGUUUGUAAGUGCUUCUGCACGAAUGUUUAUACAUGACUGUUUCCAUAGUACUUAUGUUUUUAAAAAUAUUCAGUCAUUUCCUACUAUAAUCCUCAUGUAUCCAUGUAACUGACUCAAAAAUACUUCAGCCACAGAAAGCUAAAACUGAGCAAAUCUCAUUCUUCUUUUCCAUCCCCUUUGCAUGUGGCUGGCAUUUAGUAAUGAUUAAUAAUAUGGCCAGCUGAAUAACAGAGGUUUGAGACACAAUUCUUUCUCAAAGGAGUCAGCUAAGCUGGGUCUACUUAUGGACAAACAUCUAAAUGUGUGGAAGUAUCUGAUAUUUGACAAUGGUAAAUUUCCACUUAGCUAGCUAGCAUUGUCAGACUUCAAUCUCCUCAUGGCUCUGGCCGUCCUGUUUUAAGCAUGAUAAUUGUUGGCCACAUCUCACAUAGUUCUCAUUGAGUGAGUUCAUAAAUAAACAGGGUUUUUUUUUUUUUUUAAAGAGCAGCCAAGCACAAAGUGUGACUUUGUUGACAUUUUAUGUGACUUUGUCAUAUGUUCCUAACCCCCAAUAAAAGCAAUGUUGCAUCAACUGUGAA
rnacentral:lncRNA from 1 species